GUAACGUUUAUAUGAAAUACGACACCGGAUUCUCAGUAUUCCUACGGUAUUUCUUGGUAAGUGCAGGUAUUCGAUAGAGCAACUACAAAAAAAGAAGAAAUUCUCAUAACAUUAGUCAAUAAUGAUGAAAAAAGUUUCAGAUUCAAACUACAAACUUGUCCAGUCGCCAGCAGUGCGAAUAUGAACGCAAAACGUCUCUUGCUCUGGGCUCUAAAUAAAGUUUAUAGUUGUGCAUAUACGUCGAUGGAGCAAAUACUUUAUGUUAGCGACAAAUGUAAGCACGUACGGAGGUAAGAGUAAAUGGAUGCCAUUCCAAAUGAGAAAUUUUUGGACAUUGAAGAAACACAUACUGUAAAAUAAAGUUUAUAAAAACAUAUGAAUGAAUGACUGUCCA